CAAANACAUGUCCUUUUGAAUUUAAUAUAAGGUCUGACCUGCCCAGUGAUUAUAUUCANCGGCCGCGGUAUAUUNACCGUGCAAAGGUAGCAUAAUCAUUAGUCUUUUAAUAGAGGGCUGGAAUGAAAGGUUUCACGAGGAACUGACUGUCUCAAAUUAUUUGUUUUAAAAUUUAAUUUUUUAGUCAAAAAGCUAAAAUGAUAUUGGAAGACGAGAAGACCCUAUAGAUCUUNANNUAUUUUUAUUUGAAAUUUAUUAUAUUAAUAUUUUUAUUUAUUAAUAUAUUUUGUNGGGGUGACAAAAAUAUAUAAUUAACUUUUUUAUUUAUUUAACAUUGAUUUAUGAAUAUUAGAUCCAUUUAUUAUGAUUAUUAGAUUAAGUUACCUUAGGGAUAACAGCGUAAUCCUCCUCCAGAGUUCAUAUUUACGGGAGGGCUUGCGACCUCGAUGUUGGAUUAAGAUAAUAAUUAGGUGUAGCCGCUCUAUAUAUAGGUCUGUUCGACCUUUAAAUUCNUACAUGAUCUGAG
rnacentral:rRNA from 1 species